rnacentral:misc_RNA from 1 species
GCGUCCAUCGCGCUGGAGCCUGCGAACGCGGCCUAUGAAGUCCGUAUCCUGCCGCCCAACCGCGUGCGGAUUCAGGGCAAGCUGAUCGGGCUCGUUCGCAAGUAUUGAAUUCUUCUUGGGAUCAAUCGUCCGGCUGGAGGUCGCUCUCCGCCGGCGUGGCAUCGACAGGUGCUGCCGGACGAUUUGUCCGGACAGCGGGUGUUUCGGAUUCAUCCUCGACAUUUGCCGGUGACCACGGGCGGUCCACGCCGCGCGGCCGGUUGGCCGUGAUCGCAUAACCGUCGGCGGUUUUACGCAGAGCAAGCGUCCCUCGCCUGCGCAGCAUUUCCUGAU